ensembl:lncRNA
GGACGCGGACCUCCUCCCCCACCAACUCCACGGGUGCCCUCCGAGGAAGGACGGUUGAGAGACCCUCCUGCCUCCCGAUGCUGCAGGUGGGCUUGUCCCUGGGCGCUUGAGUUAUUUGCUGGGCAUUUAGUGCCUAGGGAGCCGGUUAGUGCCACUGUCCGCUUGCCACGCCCUCGCCCACGUACUGCAGGUGCCCAGAAGAUGUGGGAAAACCUAGGGAACCAACUUCAGGCCGCCCAAGGAGGCGGUUAGAUGCAUAAAACAUCAGGGCUGCCUUAGUGAAGCCGAGAUGGGCGGCCGUGAGCCUGUUAAAAUAAAAUGUCCUGAACCUGAAGCCUCAAUAAAAAUCUCCAGCUAAGCCUGAUAGUCUUCUGGAUAGAAAAAUAAAAGAGUUAUCCCUUGAGGUUUUAAGAUGCUGAGUCGAGGAGUCUCAGCUUCUGGAGGAGACUAUGGAGCUCCUCUGGUUUCCAGUCCCUGCAGGGGCCAAAAGGUAAGGAAACAGCUACAGCGGCCAGCGAGGGAUGGGGAAGCCUGCAGACCACGGCCCCGUCUAAAGAGAGCUGCUGCUGCUGCUGCUGCUGCUGC